rnacentral:sRNA from 1 species
AGCAAGAAUGUGUACCUCUGGAAUAAGGAGGAAGCCCCGCGGCUUGGAACGAUUAAUGCCGCACUACUCUGAGAUCAGCCUUCGUUCCAAAUUAUCAGAAUAGAGGCGGUUAUUGUCUCUCUAAAUGCUUGCGAUAGUCUGAAUUCUUUCAGCAUAGGUAGCAAGUGGUUUUUUGCGGCAGAGUUGGGACUCUCUUUUAGUUGUUUCCGCAUAUAUUCGGGGGAGCGCUCGAAUCUCCAGAUCAGGACUUCUACUCACGUGUAAUUUGAACUCCUGUCGGAUGGUUGGUGCUAGGCCAAGUCGUUGGUGUAUCGGAGGAACAACGUUCAGGCA